UCCCCUCAUUUUUCACGCACGCCUCCCCUGCUUCUUUCCCUUUCUCCUGUUUUCUUCUUUCUCUCCACUUUUCGGAUACGCACGCCCCCACCUGCUUUCCUUCUCCUCUCUUCAUCUUUCUUUCUCUCCCUCUCUUCUCUGUUUCCCUGACUCCCAUCUCUCCCUUCCUUUCUUCUAUCACGCACGCCUGAGACACGGAGAGCCCGUGAGAGAGAACCGGUAAGAGUGACCCAGCCGUGAGAGUUCUAGAUCGUGAUGGAGAGGUUGUAAUGCAGAGAACCCGAGUGCGUGGAAGCGGAUCCUUGGCCGUGGUGGUGCAGUUUAUGAACUGUGGUGGUCGGACCACCGUUGUACCAUGGAGGCAGUGGCUGGAGCAAGGGAUUUUGGCCCUGUUUUGGCACGUGCCGUGAUUGGAGACUUCAACGUGUUCUCCAACCUAGAGUUCAAGUAACUAGAACACGGGGGAAAUGUUUGAGUCAAGAGUCCGAUGCAGCCAAGAUGUUCUUUUGGCUGCAGGUACUCCGGUCAUAGGGGAGAGUGUUGUAGAUGUGCACUUGGGAUAAUAUGACCGAAGCUCGCCGCGACGGUCGUAAUGGUUGGACCACAGUUGUCCACUAUUUUAUAGGUUUUGUUUAUGGCUGGUGACGCUUUAGUCACUUGUUAUUGUAUAAGCCAUUCCUGUUGUUUAAAUAUUAUGUUGAUAGGACUUAAACAUAUAGAUGUUAAAUGGCUCUGUAUUGUAAAUAAUUUGUAAUAGAUUUAUAAGCUAUGCUUUUUGCUAUAUUCAGGUUUAUGUUUCCGCUGCAUAGUUAGUUAUAUGUUAUACUCUGAUUUACCAGGUGUAUUUAUUAUGGGAUAUAUACCAUAUGUUGGCUUUGCGACGCAUCGUCGUGCCACUGUGAGGACUCGUUUAUGUUUGUAUAUAUAUAUAUAUAUAUAUAUAUAUAAAAAAAAAAAAAAAAAAAAAAAAAAAAAAAAAAAGGGGUCGUCACAAUUUGUCCUCCACCAAUGACACCAACCUUAUUCACCCGACUUGGCACUAAACCCAUAUCAGUAACCCCAGAUGUUCCACUUUGAGCAAAGAGGAGGUGGACUAGACUCUUUGAAGUGUCAGAAAACAGAAGUUCCUGAAAAGCUUCUGCCUCCUGCAGCCAGAGUGAGAUACAGAAUCAAGCAGUUGAAUGGAACUGCGGUUUGAAGGGGAUUAAGUAAAAGAAGAGGGAGACAGACAUGCACGGACCUUCCAGAGUCCAGCGCGGGGACCGGAAAGUAUACCCUCUUCUAUGACAUCAAUGCAAACGACUGGGUAUUGGACAUUGGGAGCCUGUUUCUUGGCCUCAGCUCUUGCAAGCUUGAGUAUUUCCCUAGCUUCCCCGAGGGGCUCUAUCUUGUCGGUCUUGUGAAGAGUAACAACCCAUGGUCUUCUACCGUGGAAGAUAUCCAGGGCCCAUUGACGUGCUGUGUUUACCAACUCAUCAGCUGAAACGAUGGCAUCCACAAGACCCAGACUUUGAGCUUCCUCCCCUUUGACUGGUUCUGACUUCUAUUUAAGCAAACCCCAAGAUCGAGGAGUUAGAGAUGAGAGAUUAUUGAAAUUUAUGAGGAGCCAAAGCAAAAGAAAAAGACAAAUUAUAAUCACAGCAUAUAUACCAGCAUCAUAUCAAGUGCCUUUGGGAGACCAACAAGACGUGGAAGCCGCUGUGUACCUGAGAGGCAUGCCAGGAGCAAUGAAUUUCAUCAACAACAUUAAUUUUUCACAUGAUCAUUCUUUUCUCCAUUGAACGUUGAGUUAUAUCAACUUAUCAAGGCGUAAUUAAUUAAA